UGAGGAAUAUUGGUCAAUGGGCGAGAGCCUGAACCAGCCAAGUAGCGUGGAGGAUGACUGCCCUAUGGGUUGUAAACUUCUUUUAUACGGGAAUAAAGUGAGCCACGUGUGGCUUUUUGUAUGUACCGUAUGAAUAAGGAUCGGCUAACUCCGUGCCAGCAGCCGCGGUAAUACGGAGGAUCCGAGCGUUAUCCGGAUUUAUUGGGUUUAAAGGGUGCGUAGGCGGCCUUCUAAGUCAGCGGUGAAACUCUGUGGCUCAACCAUAGAAUUGCCGUUGAUACUGGCGACCUUGAGUGCAACAGAGGUAGGCGGAAUUCGUGGUGUAGCGGUGAAAUGCUUAGAUAUCACGAAGAACUCCGAUUGCGAAGGCAGCUUGCUGGACUGUAACUGACAUUGAUGC
rnacentral:rRNA from 1 species